AUUGAACGCUGGCGGCAUGCCUUACACAUGCAAAUCGAACGGUAACGGGCCUUCGGGUGCCGACGAGUGGCGAACGGGUGAGUAAUACAUCGGAACGUGCCCGAACGUGGGGGAUAACGAGGGGAAAGCUUUGCUAAUACCGCAUACGAUCUACGGAGGAAAGCAGGGGAACGCAAGGCCUUGCGGGGACGGAGGGGCCGAUGGCAGAUUAGGUAGUUGGUGGGAUAAAAGCUUACCAAGCCGACGAUCUGUAGCUGGUCUGAGAGGAUGAUCAGCCACACUGGGACUGAGACACGGCCCAGACUCCUACGGGAGGCAGCAGUGGGGAAUUUUGGACAAUGGGCGCAAGCCUGAUCCAGCCAUGCCGCGUGCAGGAUGAAGGCCUUCGGGUUGUAAACUGAUUUUGUACGGAACGAAAAGCCUUCUUUUAAUACAGGAGGGUCAUGACGGUACCGUAAGAAUAAGCACCGGCUAACUACGUG
rnacentral:rRNA from 1 species